GGACCAAUAGCUCAGUUGGUUAGAGCAACCGGCUCAUAACCGGUUGGUCCGGGGUUCGAGUCCCUGUUGGUCCACCA
rnacentral:tRNA from 1 species